rnacentral:rRNA from 1 species
AUGAACGCUGGCGGCGUGCUUAACCCAUGCAAGUCGCACGAUGAAGCCCAGCUUGCUGGGUGGAUUAGUGGCGAACGGGUGAGUAACACGUGAGUAACCUGCCCUUAACUCUGGGAUAAGCCUGGGAAACUGGGUCUAAUACCGGAUAGGAGCGUCCACCGCAUGGUGGGUGUUGGAAAGAUUUAUCGGUUUUGGAUGGACUCGCGGCCUAUCAGCUUGUUGGUGAGGUAAUGGCUCACCAAGGCGACGACGGGUAGCCGGCCUGAGAGGGUGACCGGCCACACUGGGACUGAGACACGGCCCAGACUCCUACGGGAGGCAGCAGUGGGGAAUAUUGCACAAUGGGCGCAAGCCUGAUGCAGCGACGCCGCGUGAGGGAUGACGGCCUUCGGGUUGUAAACCUCUUUCAGUAGGGAAGAAGCGAAAGUGACGGUACCUGCAGAAGAAGCACCGGCUAACUACGUG